CAGAUUUGGAAUCGUGUUUCGGCACGAGUUGUAAAUUGCAGGUUGGAGUCUUUGUGGAAGCGUGUGUCCAAGUCCCUUGGAACAGGGCGCCAUUGAGGGUGAGAGCCCCGUGGGAUGCGCGCGGAAGCAGCAAGGCCCUUCUGACGAGUCGAGUUGUUUGGGAAUGCAGCUCUAAGCGGGUGGUAAAUUCCAUCUAAGGCUAAAUACUGGCGAGAGACCGAUAGCGAACAAGUACUGUGAAGGAAAGAUGAAAAGCACUUUGAAAAGAGAGUGAAACAGCACGUGAAAUUGUUGAAAGGGAAGGGUAUUGGGCCCGACAUGGGGAUUGCGCAUCUCUGCUCCUUGUGGGCGGGGCGCUGUGCUUUCCCUGGGCCAGCAUCGGUUUUUGCCGCAGGAGAAGGGGUACUGGAAUGUGGCUCCUCGGAGUGUUAUAGCCAGUGCCAGAUGCUGCGUGCGGGGACCGAGGGCUGCGACAUCUGUCUCGGAUGCUGGCACAACGGCGCAAUACCGCCCGUCUUGAAACACGGACCA
rnacentral:rRNA from 1 species